rnacentral:rRNA from 1 species
UGGGGAAUUUUGGACAAUGGGGGAAACCCUGAUCCAGCCAUCCCGCGUGUGCGAUGAAGGCCUUCGGGUUGUAAAGCACUUUUUGGCAGGAAAGGAAACGUCGUGGGUUAAUACCCCGCGAAACUGACGGUACCUGCAGAAUAAGCACCGGCUAACUACGUGCCAGCAGCCGCGGUAAUACGUAGGGUGCAAGCGUUAAUCGGAAUUACUGGGCGUAAAGCGUGCGCAGGCGGUUCGGAAAGAAAGAUGUGAAAUCCCAGAGCUUAACUUUGGAACUGCAUUUUUAACUACCGGGCUAGAGUGUGUCAGAGGGAGGUGGAAUUCCGCGUGUAGCAGUGAAAUGCGUAGAUAUGCGGAGGAACACCGAUGGCGAAGGCAGCCUCCUGGGAUAACACUGACGCUCAUGCACGAAAGCGUGGGGGAGCAAACAGGAUUAGAUACCCUGGUUAGUCCACGCCCUAAACGAUGUCAACUAGCUGUUGGGGUCUUCGGACCUUGGUAGCGCAGCUAACGCGUGAAGUUGACCGCCUGGGGAGUACGGUCGC